rnacentral:rRNA from 1 species
UUAAGCGACUAAGCGUACACGGAGGAUGCCCUGGCAGUCAGAGGCGAUGAAGGACGUGCUAAUCUGCGAUAAGCGUCGGUAAGGUGAUAUGAACCGUUAUAACCGGCGAUUUCCGAAUGGGGAAACCCAGUGUGUUUCGACACACUAUCAUUAACUGAAUCCAUAGGUUAAUGAGGCGAACCGGGGGAACUGAAACAUCUAAGUACCCCGAGGAAAAGAAAUCAACCGAGAUUCCCCCAGUAGCGGCGAGCGAACGGGGAGGAGCCCAGAGCCUGAAUCAGUGUGUGUGUUAGUGGAAGCGUCUGGAAAGGCGUGCGAUACAGGGUGACAGCCCCGUACACAAAAAUGCACAUGUUGUGAGCUCGAUGAGUAGGGCGGGACACGUGGUAUCCUGUCUGAAUAUGGGGGGACCAUCCUCCAAGGCUAAAUACUCCUGACUGACCGAUAGUGAACCAGUACCGUGAGGGAAAGGCGAAAAGAACCCCGGCGAGGGGAGUGAAAAAGAACCUGAAACCGUGUACGUACAAGCAGUGGGAGCACGCUUAGGCGUGUGACUGCGUACCUUUUGUAUAAUGGGUCAGCGACUUAUAUUCUGUAGCAAGGUUAACCGAAUAGGGGAGCCGAAGGGAAACCGAGUCUUAACUGGGCGUUAAGUUGCAGGGUAUAGACCCGAAACCCGGUGAUCUAGCCAUGGGCAGGUUGAAGGUUGGGUAACACUAACUGGAGGACCGAACCGACUAAUGUUGAAAAAUUGCGGAUGACUUGUGGCUGGGGGUGAAAGGCCAAUCAAACCGGGAGAUAGCUGGUUCUCCCCGAAAGCUAUUUAGGUAGCGCCUCGUGAAUUCAUCUCCGGGGGUAGAGCGCUGUUUCGGCAAGGGGGUCAUCCCGACUUACCAACCCGAUGCAAACUGCGAAUACCGGAGAGUGUUAUCACGGGAGACACACGGCGGGUGCUAACGUCCGUCGUGAAGAGGGAAACAACCCAGACCGCCAGCUAAGGUCCCAAAGUCAUGGUUAAGUGGGAAACGAUGUGGGAAGGCCCAGACAGCCAGGAUGUUGGCUUAGAAGCAGCCAUCAUUUAAAGAAAGCGUAAUAGCUCACUGGUCGAGUCGGCCUGCGCGAAAGAUGUAACGGGGCUAAACCAUGCACCGAAGCUGCGGCAGCGACGCUUAUGCGUUGUUGGGUAGGGGAGCGUUCUGUAAGCCUGUGAAGGUGUACUGUGAGGUAUGCUGGAGGUAUCAGAAGUGCGAAUGCUGACAUAAGUAACGAUAAAGCGGGUGAAAAGCCCGCUCGCCGGAAGACCGAGGGUUCCUGUCCAACGUUAAUCGGGGCAGGGUGAGUCGACCCCUAAGGCGAGGCCGAAAGGCGUAGUCGAUGGGAAACAGGUUAAUAUUCCUGUACUUGGUGUUACUGCGAAGGGGGGACGGAGAAGGCUAUGUUGGCCGGGCGACGGUUAGUCCCGGUUUAAGCGUGUAGGCUGGUUUUCCAGGCAAAUCCGGAAAAUCAAGGCUGAGGCGUGAUGACGAGGCACUACGGUGCUGAAGCAACAAAUGCCCUGCUUCCAGGAAAAGCCUCUAAGCAUCAGGUAACAUCAAAUCGUACCCCAAACCGACACAGGUGGUCAGGUAGAGAAUACCAAGGCGCUUGAGAGAACUCGGGUGAAGGAACUAGGCAAAAUGGUGCCGUAACUUCGGGAGAAGGCACGCUGAUAUGUAGGUGAAGUCCCUCGCGGAUGGAGCUGAAAUCAGUCGAAGAUACCAGCUGGCUGCAACUGUUUAUUAAAAACACAGCACUGUGCAAACACGAAAGUGGACGUAUACGGUGUGACGCCUGCCCGGUGCCGGAAGGUUAAUUGAUGGGGUUAGCGCAAGCGAAGCUCUUGAUCGAAGCCCCGGUAAACGGCGGCCGUAACUAUAACGGUCCUAAGGUAGCGAAAUUCCUUGUCGGGUAAGUUCCGACCUGCACGAAUGGCGUAAUGAUGGCCAGGCUGUCUCCACCCGAGACUCAGUGAAAUUGAACUCGCUGUGAAGAUGCAGUGUACCCGCGGCAAGACGGAAAGACCCCGUGAACCUUUACUAUAGCUUGACACUGAACAUUGAGCCUUGAUGUGUAGGAUAGGUGGGAGGCUUUGAAGUGUGGACGCCAGUCUGCAUGGAGCCGACCUUGAAAUACCACCCUUUAAUGUUUGAUGUUCUAACGUGGACCCGUAAUCCGGGUUGCGGACAGUGUCUGGUGGGUAGUUUGACUGGGGCGGUCUCCUCCUAAAGAGUAACGGAGGAGCACGAAGGUUGGCUAAUCCUGGUCGGACAUCAGGAGGUUAGUGCAAUGGCAUAAGCCAGCUUGACUGCGAGCGUGACGGCGCGAGCAGGUGCGAAAGCAGGUCAUAGUGAUCCGGUGGUUCUGAAUGGAAGGGCCAUCGCUCAACGGAUAAAAGGUACUCCGGGGAUAACAGGCUGAUACCGCCCAAGAGUUCAUAUCGACGGCGGUGUUUGGCACCUCGAUGUCGGCUCAUCACAUCCUGGGGCUGAAGUAGGUCCCAAGGGUAUGGCUGUUCGCCAUUUAAAGUGGUACGCGAGCUGGGUUUAGAACGUCGUGAGACAGUUCGGUCCCUAUCUGCCGUGGGCGCUGGAGAAUUGAGGGGGGCUGCUCCUAGUACGAGAGGACCGGAGUGGACGCAUCACUGGUGUUCGGGUUGUCAUGCCAAUGGCACUGCCCGGUAGCUAAAUGCGGAAGAGAUAAGUGCUGAAAGCAUCUAAGCACGAAACUUGCCCCGAGAUGAGUUCUCCCUGACUCCUUGAGAGUCCUGAAGGAACGUUGAAGACGACGACGUUGAUAGGCCGGGUGUGUAAGCGCAGCGAUGCGUUGAGCUAACCGGUACUAAUGAACCGUGAGGCUUAACCUU